CAGGGGCUGGGGUUUCAGGUUCU
rnacentral:miRNA from 2 species